rnacentral:rRNA from 1 species
ACACGUAGGGGGCGAGCGUUGUCCGGAAUUACUGGGCGUAAAGGGCGUGUAGGCGGCCGAGCAAGUCAAGUGUGAAAAGCCCCGGCUUAACCGAGGCAUUGCACAUGAAACUGUUUGGCUUGAGUGCAGGAGAGGGAAGUGGAAUUCCUAGUGUAGCGGUGAAAUGCGUAGAUAUUAGGAGGAACACCAGUGGCGAAGGCGACUUCCUGGACUGUAACUGACGCUGAGGCGCGAAAGCGUGGGUAGCAAACAGGAUUAGAUACCCUGGUAGUCCACGCCGUAAACGAUGGGUACUAGGUGUGGGUAGUUCACUCUAUCCGUGCCGCAGCAAACGCAAUAAGUACCCCGCCUGGGGAGUACGGCCGCAAGGUUGAA